rnacentral:rRNA from 1 species
GGACGAACGCUGGCGGCGUGCUUAACACAUGCAAGUCGAACGGGGUUAAGGAGCUUGCUUCUUAACUUAGUGGCGGACGGGUGAGUAACGCGUGAGUAAUCUGCCUUGGAGUGGGGAAUAACACAGAGAAAUUUGUGCUAAUACCGCAUGAUGCAUCUAGGUCGCAUGGCUUUGGAUGCCAAAGAUUUAUCGCUCUAAGAUGAGCUCGCGUCUGAUUAGAUAGUUGGCGGGGUAACGGCCCACCAAGUCGACGAUCAGUAGCCGGACUGAGAGGUUGGCCGGCCACAUUGGGACUGAGACACGGCCCAGACUCCUACGGGAGGCAGCAGUGGGGAAUAUUGGGCAAUGGGCGCAAGCCUGACCCAGCAACGCCGCGUGAAGGAAGAAGGCUUUCGGGUUGUAAACUUCUUUUAUGAGGGACGAUAGUGACGGUACCUCAUGAAUAAGCCACGGCUAACUACGUG